GGACCUGUGAACUAUCAGAAGUUGUUAGAGGUGGUUUUUCCUCAUCUACUGUAAGAUUAAGGAAGCUGGGAAGAUUUCCAGAAGUCGUUUCUUGAGUGUUUUCUACUUAGGCGAUACUGUUUUGGCUCACCAUAAAUUAUGUUCCUUGAAAGGAAUAGUGCAACUUUAGACGACCCAUUGUCUGCUCCCCAUGAAUGUAGCCAAAGAGAUAUUCUAGAGGCCACUGUAAUUGCAAUGCUUGGUGCUUCAGUAAGGAAAUUUGUACCCAGCUCCUUUAAAGGGACACUAUAGUCACCUGAACAACUUUAACUUAAUGAAGC